rnacentral:miRNA from 3 species
ACUGGCAUAGACUUGUGUAU